rnacentral:misc_RNA from 1 species
GAAGUCGUUACUCCAACCCUCGGGAGGAGGACGUCGAAGGUGGGGCUGAUGACUGGGGUGAAGUCGUAACAAGGUAGCCGUACCGGAAGGUGCGGCUGGAUCACCUCCUAACAGGGAGACAACAAAAUGUAAAUAUUAAUUUUGUCACCUUAGGUCGAUCGGUAUCUCAGAUUCUUAUUUUUUUAAGAAUUUCAGUUUCUAAGUUUUUUCUAGGUCACACCCAUCACUUUUCCUGGGCCAUUAGCUCAGGUGGUUAGAGCGCACCCCUGAUAAGGGUGAGGUCCCUGGUUCAAGUCCAGGAUGGCCCAUAUCUCUAUGUUGGGGGUAUAGCUCAGUUGGUAGAGCGCCUGCUUUGCAAGCAGGAUGUCAGCGGUUCGAGUCCGCUUACCUCCACUGAAUACCACCUCUUACAUAUAGUUGAAGUGGGAAAUUGUUUUGAGUCGUGUCCUAAUUUGCUCUGAGCGAAUCUAGCUUCCUAUUUUAUCCAAGAAAUAAGAUGCUGGACUCAUUGAAUUUUUUUUCAUUGUUUUCAGAGAACCUUGACAACUGCAUAGAUUAUUUUUAAAGACAAUAAGCAUCUUUAAUGAUGCAGAUUUAUUAUUUGUGCGAAUGCAUUAAAUAACAAUUCUAUUAAGCUGAUGCUUCAAUUAUUGAAGUUAUUGGUCAAGCUACAAAGGGCUCACGGAGGAUACCUAGGCACACAGAGGCGAUGAA